rnacentral:rRNA from 1 species
UACGGAGGGGGGCUAGCGUUGUUCGGAAUUACUGGGCGUAAAGCGCACGUAGGCGGCUUUGCAAGUUAGAGGUGAAAGCCCGGGGCUCAACUCCGGAAUUGCCUUUAAAACUGCAUCGCUAGAAUUGUGGAGAGGUAAGUGGAAUUCCGAGUGUAGAGGUGAAAUUCGUAGAUAUUCGGCGGAACACCAGUGGCGAAGGCGACUCACUGGCCCGAUACUGACGCUGAGGCGCGAAAGCGUGGGGAGCAAACAGG